UACGGAGGGUGCAAGCGUUAUCCGGAUUCACUGGGUUUAAAGGGUGCGUAGGCGGACAGGUAAGUCAGUGGUGAAAUCUCCAAGCUUAACUUGGAAACUGCCGUUGAUACUAUCAUUCUUGAAUAUCGUGGAGGUAAGCGGAAUAUGUCAUGUAGCGGUGAAAUGCUUAGAUAUGACAUAGAACACCAAUUGCGUAGGCAGCUUACUACACGAUCAUUGACGCUGAGGCACGAAAGCGUGGGGAGCAAACAGG
rnacentral:rRNA from 1 species